rnacentral:piRNA from 1 species
UUCUGAUUUAGCAAUGCUGUGAAUAAAAG